AAACUUACCAGGUCAAGACAUGGGCGUGAUUGACAGGCUAAUGACUUUUCUCGAUUCCAUGGAUGGUGGUGCAUGGUCGCACUUAGUUGGUGCAGUGAUUUGUCAGGUUUAUUCCGGUAACGAACGAGACCUCGGCCUUGUAAAUAGCUAUGCUGCUUACAGGGACAUUGGCGGCUACGCCAAGGAAGCUCGAGGCAAUUGCAGAUCUGGAAUGCCCUUAGAUGUCCUGGGUCGCACGCGUGCUACAAUGACGCCACGAACGAGCUUGCGUGAUGAAAGUUACGCAUAAUCAGCAGUCGGCGUCUUAAGGGAUAGUCUCUUGUAACUGUGGGACUCCAACUAGGAAUGUCUCGUAAGCACAAGUCAACAUCUUGUGUUGAUUACGUCCCUGCUCUUUGUACACACCGCCCGUCGCUCCUACCGAUCGAGUGUUUAGGUGAAUUUGAUGGACGUAAGGAAGUCAAAUAAACCUGAGCACUAGAGAAGAGAAGUCGAGCAUG
rnacentral:rRNA from 1 species